rnacentral:rRNA from 1 species
UACGUAGGUGGCAAGCGUUGUCCGGAUUUACUGGGCGUAAAGGAUGCGUAGGCGGAUACUUAAGUCAGAUGUGAAAUUCCCGAGCUUAACUUGGGGGCUGCAUUUGAAACUGGGUAUCUAGAGUGCGGGAGAGGAAAGUGGAAUUCCUAGUGUAGCGGUGAAAUGCGUAGAGAUUAGGAAGAACACCAGUGGCGAAGGCGACUUUCUGGACCGUAACUGACGCUGAGGCAUGAAAGCGUGGGGAGCAAACAGG